rnacentral:lncRNA from 1 species
UUGUCGAUCAAAAAAUAAUAAUAAGUUGAGCUGUACCACAACAAUCAAAUUAUUUCUAAGACUUAGUUUGAUAUUAAGACUUAUCUGACGUUAUUAGAUAAAAUAGAGUUGAAAAAAAAAUAUAUAGAUAUAUGCUUCUGUGUUCUCUUGUGAAACCACAGCGCGAUAUGCGGAACGUAACAUUACGUACGGAAACAAAUAGAAUAUUUUUAUCGUAUUUUCUCAUCGCACAUAAUGUAAUCUCUUUUUAAUCCCAAACGAAGUUUAAGUGAUCCGUAUAAAAGAGCUGUGACAGUAAGUAUUAUGACUUGUA